rnacentral:rRNA from 1 species
AACGAACGCUGGCGGCAUGCCUAACACAUGCAAGUCGAGCGAGACCUUCGGGUCUAGUGGCGCACGGGUGCGUAACGCGUGGGAAUCUGCCCUUGGGUUCGGAAUAACAGUGAGAAAUUACUGCUAAUACCGGAUGAUGUCUUCGGACCAAAGAUUUAUCGCCCAGGGAUGAGCCCGCGUAGGAUUAGCUAGUUGGUGGGGUAAUGGCCUACCAAGGCGACGAUCCUUAGCUGGUCUGAGAGGAUGAUCAGCCACACUGGGACUGAGACACGGCCCAGACUCCUACGGGAGGCAGCAGUGGGGAAUAUUGGACAAUGGGCGCAAGCCUGAUCCAGCAAUGCCGCGUGAGUGAUGAAGGCCUUAGGGUUGUAAGCUCUUUUACCCGGGAUGAUAAUGACAGUACCGGGAGAAUAAGCUCCGGCUAACUCCGUG